rnacentral:rRNA from 1 species
UCCUACGGGAGGCAGCAGUGGGGAAUAUUGCACAAUGGGCGCAAGCCUGAUGCAGCAACGCCGCGUGCGGGAUGACGGCCUUCGGGUUGUAAACCGCUUUCAGUUCCGACGAAGCGCAAGUGACGGUAGGAACAGAAGAAGGACCGGCCAACUACGUGCCAGCAGCCGCGGUGAUACGUAGGGUCCGAGCGUUGUCCGGAAUUAUUGGGCGUAAAGGGCUUGUAGGCGGUUUGUCACGUCGGAAGUGAAAACUCAGGGCUCAACCCUGAGCCUGCUUCCGAUACGGGCAAACUAGAGGAAUGCAGGGGAGAAUGGAAUUCCUGGUGGAGCGGUGGAAUGCGCAGAUAUCAGGAGGAACACCGGUGGCGAAGGCGGUUCUCUGGGCAUUUCCUGACGCUGAGAAGCGAAAGCGUGGGGAGCAAACAGGCUUAGAUACCCUGGUAGUCCACGCCGUAAACGGUGGGCACUAGGUGUGGGGAACAUUCCACGUUCUCCGUGCCGAAGCUAACGCAUUAAGUGCCCCGCCUGGGGAGUACGGCCGCAAGGCUAAAACUCAAAGGAAUUGACGGGGGCCCGCACAAGCGGCGGAGCAUGCGGAUUAAUUCGAUGCAACGCGAAGAACCUUAC